GACGAACCUUGCUAACGUUAUUCGGAAUUACUGGGCGUAAAGCGUGCGUAGACGGUUAUGUAAGUCGGGUGUGAAAGCCCCGGGCUCAACCUGGGAAUUGCAUUCGAGACUGUGUAGCUAGGGUACGGAAGAGGGAAGCGGAAUUUCAGGUGUAGCGGUGAAAUGCGUAGAUAUCUGAAGGAACACCAGUGGCGAAAGCGGCUUCCUGGUCCAGUACCGACGUUCAGGCACGAAAGCGUGGGGAGCAAACAGG
rnacentral:rRNA from 1 species